rnacentral:misc_RNA from 1 species
GUGGCUCAGUUCAGAUCGUAGGCUGCAACUCGCCUACGUGAAGGAGGAAUCGCUAGUAAUCGCAGGUCAGCAUACUGCGGUGAAUACGUUCCCGGGCCUUGUACACACCGCCCGUCACACCAUGGAAGUUGGCCACGCCCGAAGCCGUUACUCCAACCCUUGUGGAGGAGGACGUCGAAGGUGGGGCUGAUGACUGGGGUGAAGUCGUAACAAGGUAUCCGUACCGGAAGGUGCGGAUGGAUCACCUCCUAACAGGGAGACAACACAAUGAUUUUGAUGCCUGAGUGCUUUUAUUCUUAGGCCGAAAUCCUGUCACCUUAGGUCGAUCGGUACCUCAGCAUUAAGAGCAAUGAUUGAUGAGCAAUCAUCAAGAGAUUGAAGGAGAUGUUCAGUUCCUAAACUUUGUCUAGGUCACACCCCAAAAGGGAUGAGACUCCUGGGCCAUUAGCUCAGGUGGUUAGAGCGCACCCCUGAUAAGGGUGAGGUCCCUGGUUCAAGUCCAGGAUGGCCCAUUCGGUGUUGGGGGUUUAGCUCAGUUGGUAGAGCGCCUGCUUUGCAAGCAGGAUGUCAGGAGUUCGAGUUUCCUAACCUCCACUGACCGAACUUGAUUCCCAUCUCCAAAUAUUUGGAGUUGAGCUCGAUUGGGUUGUGAUUUAGAUGUGUCCGCUGGAUGACCCCAGCUUCCUGUCAUUCCAAGUUUUAGGUGUAGAGCCUUGAAUUUGGUUGAUAAGAUGCUGGGC